GACGAACGCUGGCGGCGUGCUUAACACAUGCAAGUCGAGCGGUAAGGCCCUUUUGGGGGUACGACGAGCGGCGAACGGGUGAGUAACACGUGGGUGACCUGCCCUCAGCUCUGGGAUAAGCCUGGGAAACUGGGUCUAAUACUGGAUAUGACCUUUCCUCGCAUGGGGUUGGGUGGAAAGUUUUUCGGCUGGGGAGUGGGCCCGCGGCCUAUCAGCUUGUUGGUGGGGUGAUGGCCUACCAAGGCGACGACGGGUAGCCGGCCUGAGAGGGCGACCGGCCACACUGGGACUGAGACACGGCCCAGACUCCUACGGGAGGCAGCAGUGGGGAAUAUUGCGCAAUGGGGCGGAAGCCUGACGCAGCGACGCCGCGUGGGGGAUGACGGCC
rnacentral:rRNA from 1 species